AAGAUAAAUAGCACAAUAUCCGAAAUGGAAAAUACACUAGAAGGACUUGAUGGCAGAAUAAUGGAGGCAUAAGAACAAAUAACUGAGUUUUGGAAAUUAUUGCCACAGAAAAGAAUAAAGAAUGAAAAGAACUGAGGAGAGUCUAAGAGACUUCUAGGACAACAUUAAAUGUACCAAUAUUCACAUCAUUGUGGUUCUAGAAGGAAAAGAAAGAGAGAAAAGGCCAGAAAAAAUACUUGAAGAGAUUAUAGCUGAAACUUUCCCUAAUAUGGGAAAGGAAACACUCAUUCAAAUUGAGGAAGCACAGAGAAUCCCAUACAAGCUAAAUCCAAGGAGAAACAGUGAGAGACAUACUAAUCAAACUGAAAAAAAAAAAUUACAAAUAAAAAAAUUAAAAACCACAAAGGAAAAGCAACAAAUCACAUACAAGCGAACCCCUAUGAAGAUAAGAGCUUCUUUUUCAGCAGAAACUCUACAAGCCAGAAGGGAAUGGCAAGAUAUAUUUGAGGAGGAGGAACCUAGAGCCAAGAAGACUCUACCCAGCAAAGCUCUCAUUCUGAUUUGAUGAAGAGAUCAAACACUUUUCGGACAAGCAAAAGCUCAGAGAAUUCAGCACCUUCAAACCUACAUCAACCACUAAAGGAAAUUUUCUAAGCAGAAAAGGAAAAGACACAAUUAGAAACAGGAAUAUUACAAAAGAAAACCUCACUGGUAAAGACAAAGAUAAUGUAAAAAUAUGAAAUAACACAUUGAUAAAUAUAGUAUCAAAACUAGCAAGCAUUAGAAGAGGAGAGGACAAAGUCAGAACACUGAAAAUGAAUUUGAAAUAAAGAGACUAGCAACCAGAAAAAAAUCCUGAACUCAUAAAGAUAGUUAUAUCAAAAUAUAAUGGGAACUACCAAUCAAAUAACUAUAAUGGACACACGCAUUAAGCAAAGAAAAAGCAAGCUAAACACAACACUAAAGAUGGCCAGCAUAUCACAAGAGAAGACAACAAAAGAGGAAGGGAAGAAAAAAGACCCAAAGUUACACCCCCCCAAAAAAAACCCCAAAAUUAUAUUAAGUACAUACUUACCCAUAAUACAGUGAAUGUAAAUGGAUUAAAUGCUCCAACUAAAAGUCACAGACUGGCUGAAAGGAUAAAAUAAAGAAUUAUAUGCAUGCUGUUUAUAAGGGACUCACUUCAGAUCUAGGAACACAUACAGAAAAAGUGAGGGUAUAGACAGAAUAUUAAUGCAAAUGGGAAUCAUAGAAAAGCAGGAGUAGCAAUACUCAUAUCAGACAAAAUAGAUUUUAAAAUAAGGUCACAAGAGACAAAAAAGGACAUUACAUAAUGAUCAAAGGAUCAAUCCAAAGACAUAACAAUUAAAAAUAUAUAUACACCCAACAUAGGAGCACCAAAAUAUGUAAUGCAACUACUAACAGCCAUAAAAGAGAAACCGACAGUAACACAACAAUAGUGGAGGACUUUAACACACCACUUACAGCAAUGGACAGAUCAUCCAAAGAGAAAAUCAACAAGGAAACACAGGCCUUAAGUGAUACACAAGAUAAAAUAGACUUAAUUGAUAUCUAUAGGACUUUUCACCCCAAAGCAGCAUAAUAUAUACUUUCUUCUCAAGUGCACAUGGAACAUUCUCCAGUAUAGAUCACAUCUUUGGCCGCAGAUCAAGCCUUGGUAAGUUUUAAAAAAUUAAAGUUAUUUCAAGCAUUUUCUCUGACCACAGUGCUAUGAGACUAGAAAUGAACUAUAAGAAAAAAAAAACAACAUAAAAAAACACAAACACUUAGAAGCUAAACAACGUUCUACUAAAUAACCAGUGGAUCAUUGAAGAAACAAAAGAGGAAAUUAAAAGAUACUUAGAAACAAAUGACAAUGAAGAUACAACAAUCCAAAACCUAUGGGACACAGCAAAAGCAGUGCAAGAGGGAAGUUUGUAGCAUACAACAUUAUCUCAGGAAAGAAGAACAAACUCAAAUAAACAGCAUAACCUUACACCUUAAACAUCUAGGGAAGGAAGAACAGACAAAGCCCAAAAUUAGUAGAAGGGAAGAAAUAAUAAAAAAUUAGAGCAGAAGCUAAUAACAUAGAGACAAAGAAAACAAUAGAGAAGAUCAAUGAAACCAAAAGUUGGUUCUUUGAAAAGAUCAACAAAAUUGAUGAAACUUUAGCUAGAGUCAUCAAGGAAAAAGGGAGAGGAUUCAAAACAAUAAAAUUAGAAAUGGAAAAGAAAUUACAACUGAAACCACAGAAAUAGAAAGGAUCAUAAGAUACUACUAUGAGUAACAGUAUGCCAAUAAGAUGGACAACCUAGAAGACAUGUACAGAUUCUUACAAAGGUACAACUUACAAAGACAGAACCAGGAAGAAAUAGAAAAUAUGAAUAGACCAAUCACAAGCACUGAAAUUGAAAAUAUGAUUUAAAAACUUCCAAAAGAACAAAAGUCCAGGACCUGGUGUCUUCACGGUUGAAUCCUAUCAAACAUUCAAAGAAGAGUUAACACUUCUUAUGAAAUUUCAAAAAAAAAACUGCAGAGGAAGCAACACUCUCAAGCUCAUUCUAUGAAGUCACCAUCACCCUGAUAUAAAAACUGGACAAAGAUACCAGAAUAAAAGAAAAUUGCAGCCCAAUAUUGCUGAUGAACUGAUGUAAAAAUCCUCAACAAAAUAUUAGCAAACUGCAUCCAGAUAUAUAUUAAAAAAUCAUACAGCAUGAUAAAGUAGGAUUUAUCCCAGGGACGCAAGGAUUCUUCAAUAUCUGCAUAUCUACCAAUGUGAUACGCCAUAGCAACAAACUGAAAAGUAAAAACCCUAUGAGCAUCUCAAUAGAUGCAGAAAAGGCUUUUUUCAAAAUUCAACACCAAUUCCUGAUAAAAACUCUCCAGAGAAUGAGAAUAGAGGGGAACUACCUCAAUAAAAUAAAAGCUGUUUAUGACAAAACCACAGUUAACAUCAUUCUCGAUGGUGAAAAACUGAAAUCAUUUCCUCUAAGAUCAGGAACAAGACAAAGAUGUCCACUUUGGCCAAUGUUAUUCAACAUAGUUUUGGAAAUCCUGACUAUGUAAAUCAGAGAAGAAAAAGAAAUAAAAGGAUUCCAAAUUGGAAAAGAAGAAGUAAAACUAUCACUGUUUGCAGAUGACAUGAUACUAUACCUAGAAAAUCCAAAAGACAAUAAUCGGAAAACAGAGUUAAUCAAUGAAUUUGGUAAAGUUGCAGUAACAAAAUUAACACACAGAAAUUUAUUGCAUUUCUAUAUACUAACAAUGAAAGUUCAGAAAGAGAAAUCAGGGAAACCAUCUGAUUUACCAUCACAUCAAAAAGAGUAAAAUACCUAGAAAUAAGCCAACCUAAAGAGACAGAAGACCUGUACUCUGAAAACCGUAAGACACUGAUGAAAUAAAUCAAAGAUGACACAAAUAGAUGGAAAGAUACACUAUGCUCUUGGACUGGAAGAAUUAGUAUAGUCAAAAUGACAAUACUACCUCAGGAAAUCUAGAGAUUCAAUGCAGUCCCUAUGAAACUACCAAUGACAAUCUUUGCAGAACUAGAACAAAAUAUUUUAAAAUUUGUAUGGAAACACAGAAGAUCUUAAAUAGCCAAAGCAAUACUAAAGAAAAAACGGAACUGAAGGAAUCAGGUUCCCUGACUUCAGAUUAUACUACAAAUCUACAGUCAUCAAAACAGUAUGGUACUGGCACAAAACCAGAAAUAUAGAUCAAUGGAGCAGGAUAAGAAGCCCAGAAAUAAACCCAAGUGCAAGAACAUACAGUGGAAGAAAGAUAGUCCCUUUGAUAAGUGAUGCUGGGAAAACUGGACAGCUGCAUAUAAAAGAAUGACAUUAGAACAUUUUCUAACACCAUACACAAAAAUAAACUCAAAAUGGAUUAAAGACCUAAAUGUAAGGUCAGAUAUGUAAAACUUCUAGAGGAAAACAUAGGCAGAAUGCUCUUUGGUAUAAAUCACAGCAAUAUCUUCUUUGAUCCACCUCUUAGAAUAAU
rnacentral:lncRNA from 1 species